rnacentral:misc_RNA from 1 species
GAUGAAGAACGCAGCGAAAUGCGAUAAGUAGUGUGAAUUGCAGAAUUCAGUGAAUCAUCGAAUCUUUGAACGCACAUUGCGCCCCUUGGUAUCCCGAGGGGCAUGCCUGUUCGAGCGUCGUUUCACCACUCAAGCCUGGCUUGGUGUUGGGCGACGUCCUCUUUGGGGACGCGCCUCGAAACGCUCGGCGGCGUGGCACCGGCUUUAAGCGUAGCAGAAUCUUUCGCUUUGGAAGUCGGGGCCCCGUCUGCCGGAAGACCUGCUCGCAAGGUUGACCUCGGAUCAGGCAGGGAUACCCGCUGAACUUAAGCAUAUCAAUAAGCGGAGGA